rnacentral:rRNA from 1 species
CGGCACGCCUUAUACAUGCAAGUCGAACGAAGUAGUAAUACUUAGUGGCAGACGGGUGAGUAACAUGUAGGUAUCUUCCCUUUGGUGAGGAAUAACACGAGGAAACUUGUGCUAAUACCUCAUAAGUCUUUACGGAGAAAGCUUUAUGCGCCAAAGGAUGAGCCUGCACUUGAUUAGUUUGUUGGUGGGGUAACGGCCUACCAAGACUUUGAUCAAUAGCUGAUCUGAGAGGAUGAUCAGCCACAUUGGGACUGAGACACGGCCCAAACUCCUACGGGAGGCAGCAGUAGGGAAUAUUGCACAAUGGAGGAAACUCUGAUGCAGCGAUGCCGCGUGAGUGAAGAAGGCCUUUGGGUUGUAAAGCUCUUUCGUCGGGGAAGAAAAUGACUGUACCCGAAUAAGAAGGUCCGGCUAACUUCGU